GUGGGGAACAUUGGACAAUGGGCGAAAGCCUGAUCCAGCCAUGCCGCGUGUGUGAAGAAGGUCUUCGGAUUGUAAAGCACUUUAAGUUGGGCGGAAGGGCAGUAAGUUAAUACCUUGCUGUUUUGACGUUACCGACAGAAUAAGCACCGGCUAACUUCGUGCCAGCAGCCACGGUAAUACGAAGGGUGCAAGCGUUAAUCGGAAUUACUGGGCGUAAAGCGCGCGUAGGUGGUUUUGUAAGUUGGAGGUGAAAUCCCCGGGCUCAACCUGGGAACUGCCUCCAAAACUGCAUGACUAGAGUACGGUAGAGGGUAGUGGAAGUUCCAGUGUAGCGGUGAAAUGCGUAGAUAUAGGAAGGAACACCAGUGGCGAAGGCGACUACCUGGACUGAUACUGACACUGAGGUGCGAAAGCGUGGGGAGCAAACAGGAUUAGAAACCCGGGUAGUCC
rnacentral:rRNA from 1 species